UGGGGAAUAUUGGACAAUGGGCGAAAGCCUGAUCCAGCGACGCCGCGUGGGUGAUGAAGGCCUUCGGGUCGUAAAGCCCUGUCUGGGGGGAAGAAGCUCUCGCCGGUGAACAAUCGGCGAGAUUGACGGUACCCCCGAAGGAAGCACCGGCUAACUCCGUGCCAGCAGCCGCGGUAAGACGGAGGGUGCAAGCGUUGCUCGGAAUUACUGGGCGUAAAGGGCGCGUAGGCGGUCUGCUAAGUUCGGUGUGAAAGCCCCCGGCUCAACCGGGGAAGGGCGCCGGAAACUGGCGGACUAGAGUACCGGAGAGGAGGGUGGAAUUCCUGGUGUAGCGGUGAAAUGCGUAGAUAUCAGGAGGAACACCGGUGGCGAAGGCGGCCCUCUGGACGGAUACUGACGCUGAGGCGCGAAAGCGUGGGGAUCAAACAGG
rnacentral:rRNA from 1 species